rnacentral:sRNA from 1 species
UGAUGGACAGACCCAAACAUAGCCGCGCAGCAUCGUGAAGGGCUGGGGCCUUCACUCCUCUGUGGCUCUGGAAGAGCCCGGUUUCCUCAGGAGGCAUGUCGGGCCCCAGGCCUGUGGUGCUGAGCGGGCCUUCGGGAGCUGGGAAGAGCACCCUGCUGAAGAGGCUGCUCCAGGAGCACAGCGGCAUCUUUGGCUUCAGCGUGUCCCGUGAGUCCAGGGCUCUUGUGGAGGGAUACCACGAGGAACCCGAGGCCCGGCGAGGAGAACGGCAAA